UAUAUUUUAAUGUAAGAUGCAUGGUAAUUUUUGAAAUUACAAGAUAUAGUUUAAUUCUAUAAAAUAUAAUUAA
rnacentral:tRNA from 1 species